CCUUGGGUGGCGAGCGGCGGACGGGUGAGUAAUGCCUAGGAAAUUGCCCUGAUGUGGGGGAUAACCAUUGGAAACGAUGGCUAAUACCGCAUGAUGCCUACGGGCCAAAGAGGGGGACCUUCGGGCCUCUCGCGUCAGGAUAUGCCUAGGUGGGAUUAGCUAGUUGGUGAGGUAAUGGCUCACCAAGGCGACGAUCCCUAGCUGGUCUGAGAGGAUGAUCAGCCACACUGGAACUGAGACACGGUCCAGACUCCUACGGGAGGCAGCAGUGGGGAAUAUUGCACAAUGGGCGCAAGCCUGAUGCAGCCAUGCCGCGUGUAUGAAGAAGGCCUUCGGGUUGUAAAGUACUUUCAGUCGUGAGGAAGGUGGUGUUGUUAAUAGCAGCAUCAUUUGACGUUAGCGACAGAAGAAGCACCGGCUAACUCCGUGCCAGCAGCCGCGGUAAUACGGAGGGUGCGAGCGUAAAUCGGAAUUACUGGGCGUAAAGCGCAUGCAGGUGGUGGAUUAAGUCAGAUGUGAAAGCCCGGGGCUCAACCUCGGAACCGCAUU
rnacentral:rRNA from 2 species